GACGAACCGUGCGAACGUUAUUCGGAAUCACUGGGCUUAAAGGGUGCGUAGGCGGGCUCGCCAGGUCAGGGGUGAAAUCCCACGGCCCAACCGUGGAAGUGCCUCUGAUACUGCGGGCCUCGAGGGGGAUAGGGCGUGCGGAACUUCCGGUGGAGCGGUGAAAUGCGUAGAUAUCGGAAGGAACACCGGUGGCGAAAGCGGCG
rnacentral:rRNA from 1 species